GUCCCCAACUCUCAGAAGAGGAAGCACUCAUUCACUUAUAUGAUGGAACCAGAAAUAGUCAAGGUUAAUACUGAGCAAGUUAAAGACUCUGUUCAAAAGUGUUUUGCAUUUUGAAAGACUUAAGCUACAUUCUGCAAAAUUCUCAGGGUAGGGAGAUAGUCUCAGAGGAAGUUUCAAUGCUUUAUAAAGUUUCCAGAACCACAAUUGAAGCUCUUCUCUUUCCAACAGUUUUUAUUCGUAAACCAGGUCUGACCAAUGCCCCUAAUGAAGCCACCAAUGUGCUCUGAUGAUGCAGGAUGACAGAUUCACUGAUGGUUGUGGCUCAAGAGAGGCCCUGAUGGAUAAGAAUAAGUUUCCAUUGCACAAACUCAAGAACCACUGAGCCACCUUAGGACACCAUCCCUCCGCCAAAGACAUAUCAUUCCCUACAGCUAUUGAGAACCAACAAUUCCAAGAUGGAAUCCAUGUCCAAGGUCUCACUGGCAACAAGAAUAGCUAAG
rnacentral:lncRNA from 1 species